GGGCGGAUGGCGGAAUUGGUAGACGCACCGCACUCAAAAUGCGGCGGAGAAAUCCUUGCGAGUUCGAGUCUCGCUCUGCCCA
rnacentral:tRNA from 3 species